AUCGAGUCCGAGGAACUACAUGCAAGAUGCUUUCGUGUACGACUCAAGUUCAAGGCGUCAUGAUGUGACGCGUCCUUACGGGUGCUGGAAUGCAACGGUAACCUAUCGGCCAGUGGUAGGGGGCAACAGCUUCGACAAGCGAUUGGCGUCACGCAGACGUGCUUACGCAACCGAAGCUGUUGGAAUUCUCGCAGGUGGAAGAAGAGGAAGGACAGGGAGCCUCCCGCAGCAGCACUUGCCACAGCCAGGAAUUGAAGCUGUGGCCUCGCGGGAAGCAGAUACGAGGCGUCAGAACCGAUGAGUUUUCGCAGAUGAAGGCGACAACUCUGCUCAAAAUUGGUGAAGAUGUUCGUGCAGCGAUCACGAGAAGAACAGACGAGAACAGGUGCUGUCUCUCAACUGAAGCUUACUUUGGCAAGCAAGAGGAUACCAAUAAAGAAAAAAAAGGCUGCCCAUAAUGACUAAUAUGUGAAGCCA